GCGGAAGGAUCAUUAUUGAAUAAAUAUAAUUUGGGAGGUUGUAGCUGGCUCUCUAUUGGGGAGCAAUGKGCACACCUUUCAAACUAUUUAUCUCCAACCCACCUGUGCACUUCUUGUAGAUGCUGGAUAAAAAACAACCAACUCCUUUGGAUUGAUUGUUAUUUUUUUGAGGGUUUGCUGUCAAGGCUGCCUUUGCUUGUUCAGUGUCUAUGUAUUUUAUAAUAUACCCUACUUUUUAGUCUUUGAAUGUGUUAUCAAAAGGCAGCAAUGCCCUUUUGUUAUAAUAUUAAUACAACUUUCAACAACGGAUCUCUUGGCUCUCGCAUCGAUGAAGAACGCAGCGAAAUGCGAUAAGUAAUGUGAAUUGCAGAAUUCAGUGAAUCAUCGAAUCUUUGAACGCACCUUGCGCUCCUUGGUUAUUCCGAGGAGCAUGCCUGUUUGAGUGUCAUUAAAUUCUCAACCCCUCUUCAGUUUUCUGAAGGGGUGGAUUUGGAUGGUGGAGGUGUUUGCAGGCUUGAUCAAAGUCAGCUCCUCUUAAAUGCAUUAGCAGAACCCUUGCAUUGACUUGGUUUCUGGUGUGAUAAAUUAUCWGCGCCAUUCCAGUCGAUCAAAAAGUCAUGGUUUAGCUUCUAAUCUGUUUAUUGUCCUUGAAGGAUUAAAAACACUUUUUAACUGACCUCAAA
rnacentral:rRNA from 1 species